rnacentral:rRNA from 1 species
UGCAGUGGGUACGGGCAGACUAGAGUGCAGUAGGGGAGACUGGAAUUCCUGGUGUAGCGGUGAAAUGCGCAGAUAUCAGGAGGAACACCGAUGGCGAAGGCAGGUCUCUGGGCUGUAACUGACGCUGAGGAGCGAAAGCAUGGGGAGCGAACAGGAUUAGAUACCCUGGUAGUCCAUGCCGUAAACGUUGGGCACUAGGUGUGGGGGACAUUCCACGUUUUCCGCGCCGUAGCUAACGCAUUAAGUGCCCCGCCUGGGGAGUACGGCCGCAAGGCUAAAACUCAAAGGAAUUGACGGGGGCCCGCACAAGCGGCGGAGCAUGCGGAUUAAUUCGAUGCAACGCGAAGAACCUUACCAAGGCUUGACAUGGACUGGAAAGAUCUGGAGACAGGUCCCCCGCUUGCGGCCGGUUCACAGGUGGUGCAUGGUUGUCGUCAGCUCGUGUCGUGAGAUGUUGGGUUAAGUCCCGCAACGAGCGCAACCCUCGUUCUAUGUUGCCAGCGCGUGAUGGCGGGGACUCAUAGGAGACUGCCGGGGUCAACUCGGAGGAAGGUGGGGACGACGUCAAAUCAUCAUGCCCCUUAUGUCUUGGGCUUCACGCAUGCUACAAUGGCCGGUACAAAGGGUUGCGAUACUGUGAGGUGGAGCUAAUCCCAAAAAGCCGGUCUCAGUUCGGAUUGGGGUCUGCAACUCGACCCCAUGAAGUCGGAGUCGCUAGUAAUCGCAGAUCAGCAACGCUGCGGUGAAUACGUUCCCGGGCCUUGUACACACCGCCCGUCAAGUCACGAAAGUUGGUAACACCCGAAGCCGGUGGCCUAAC